rnacentral:rRNA from 1 species
AUUGAACGCUGGCGGCAGGCCUAACACAUGCAAGUCGAGCGAGCGGCGGACGGGUGAGUAAUAUCUGGGAAACUGCCUGAUGGAGGGGGAUAACUACUGGAAACGGUAGCUAAUACCGCAUACCAUCAGAUGUGCCCAGAUGGGAGUAGCUGGUAGGUGGGGUAAAGGCUCACCUAGGCGACGAUCCCUAGCUGGUCUGGGAGGAUGACCAGCCACACUGGAACGUGGACACGGGCCAUACUCCUACGGGAGGCAGCAGUGGGGAAUAUUGCACAAUGGGCGCAAGCCUGAGGCAGACAUGCCGGGUGUGUGAAGAAGGCCUUCGGGUUGUAAAGCACUUUCAGCGGGGAGGCGUUACCCGCAGAAGAAGCACCGGCUAACUCCGUGCCAGCAGCCGCGGUAAUAC